UACGGAUGGUGCAAGCGUUAUCCGGAAUUAUUGGGUUUAAAGGGUCCGCAGGCGGCCUAUUAAGUCAGAGGUGAAAGCCAACAGCUCAACUGUUGAACUGCCUUUGAUACUGGAAAACUUGAGUUAUUGUGAAGUGGUUAGAAUGUGUGGUGUAGCGGUGAAAUGCAUAGAUAUCACACAGAAUACCGAUUGCGAAGGCAGAUCACUAACAAUGUACUGACGCUCAUGGACGAAAGCGUGGGGAGCGAACGGG
rnacentral:rRNA from 1 species